GCGAGCUGGUGGGCGACCGUCGGGCGAAAGCCUGAGGAAACUCCACCCAUCGAGCAGGCCCGCGAGCCCGUGAGGGCCCAGCCGAGAGGUUGGGGCAAUGGCACAGAAACGAGACCUCCCUGUUCGUGCAUGAUGAUGCCGAAAGGCUGAAGUUGAACAGCGGAGGGUGAAACGGCCAACCCGCGGGAUGCAAGGGCAAGUUUCCGCCUAUGAACGCCUGCUGGAGGCGGGUGGUAGCCCGCUCAGCUGAAUGUCGCCUAAAACAGAAGGUGGGUUACGGCCAGCACGC
rnacentral:RNase_P_RNA from 1 species